GAUAACACAGAUGGAUCCUACAUCUGCACAUGUAAUUCAGGAUAUAGUGGAGAUGGAUUCAGGUGUCCUGAUGUAAACGAAUGCCAAGUUUCUUCCCCGUGUCAUCUAAAUGCUACGUGCAAUAACACAGUUGGAUCUUUCAACUGCGAAUGUGAUACAGGCUAUAACGGAGAUGGACUAAACUGCACUGACAAGAACGAAUGCCAAACUGCCUUCCCAUGCCAUUCCAAUGCUACGUGCAAUAACACACAGGGAUCUUAUAUUUGCACGUGUA